CUCCGAGGGAAAAUUGUGCUUGAAUGAGCUUGUUCCCUCUAUAUUAAGAUUUCCAGUUUUCUUGAUUUUAACGCCUGUUGGCUACGUCUCCAUCUUACUGUGAAGUGCUGAAUCCCCAAAAGUGGCAAAAGUAAUAGUUUCUAUUUGUCGCCAAGAGGCCAGUGGAGGACCUCUCUUCGUCUCUAAGUUUAACUUACGAGACUAACCAAAACUCUCUGAUGGAGACAGGAACUGUGGCUUUCGCGAUGAAAUACUCCUCGAGGAUCACAUCGGAGCGCUACGACCGAAGCGAAACCCACUCAUCACUAAUUGUGCUCACCAUCCUGUCGGCCAUAGUAUCAAGUUUAGUCCUCUGGUCCUGCAUGCCCCUCUACGACUAUCUCUUCCUCAGCCUCGAGUCCCCGGAAAGUCGCCCCGUUUUCCUUUCCCGUGGCUCUUCUACGGCCUGGACCCGCACCGGGAGUUUUGGAUCAUCUUCGCCCUUCAGUUCAUGCACGGACUCUUCUGCGUCCACACGGUGGCACUGGGCUUCGCUUUCCCGCCCGUCAUCUGCUCACUCCUCCAGGGACAGAUAGAGAUCCUCAAGGAGUCCUUGCCCAAAGCCCGGAACUCCGCAGGGAGGUUGAUAUUGUCGGUGUUCGAUUCGAAAAGGAAGAUCGAUGGAGUUGUGGAUGCUGGUGGAGAGGACAUGGAGGAUCGGGUUGAUUUGAGGGAUUGCAUUGUGCAUCAUCAAAUGAUUCUUAGGUUGCUGAGGAGAGCUAAAGCUAUAAUAACUCCAUUCUUGUUUAUUGGUGUCAUGUAUUUUCAAACGAUUUUGGCUAGUCUUGCCGUUGCCUCAGCCUCGAUUGACGAAAGACACUCAAUUUUAUUAGCUGCAGUCGAGACGGUAUUAUUUUCCACGAUACUUUUAGUUGAG
rnacentral:lncRNA from 1 species